AUUGAACGCUGGCGGCAGGCCUAACACAUGCAAGUCGAGCGGAUGAAGGGAGCUUGCUCCUGGAUUCAGCGGCGGACGGGUGAGUAAUGCCUAGGAAUCUGCCUGGUAGUGGGGGAUAACGUCCUGAGACGGGCGCUAAUACCGCAUACGUCCUGAGGGAGAAAGUGGGGGAUCUUCGGACCUCACGCUAUCAGAUGAGCCUAGGACGGAUUAGCUAGUUGGUGGCGUAAAGGCCUACCAAGGCGACGAUCCGUAACUGGUCUGAGAGGAUGAUCAGUCACACUGGCACUGAGACACGGUCCAGACUCCUACGGGAGGCAGCAGUGGGGAAUAUUGGACAAAGGGCGAAAGCCUGCUCCAGCCAUGCCGCGUGUGUGAAGAAGGUCUUCGGAUUGUAAAGCACUUUAAGUUGGGAGGAAGGGCAGUAAGUUAAUACCUUGCUGUUUUGACGUUACCAACAGAAUAAGCACCGGCUAACUUCGUG
rnacentral:rRNA from 1 species